UAGUGGCUGUCUUCUACUUCAGCAAGCUCCCAGCACCUCCUGUUGCAACGGCAGAGUACAGCUGGAGGCCGCUCUCAAAGGCCUGCCCUGCCCGGUGUCGUACACGCAUGUAGAAGUGAAACCACGGGGAAGACCCUUUGCUGGAAAGCCGGACCGCCGGCGAGCCCAGCCGCCGCGCAGCAUCUCGCAGCGGCCCUGGCGGCGGCACCGAGCAGGCGACCGGCCCCGCCAGGCGCCCGGGCCCUUUGCACGCGGCGCCGCGCUCUGCGCCGGCCUCCCGGGGAGGCGCGCGGGGCGUUUUGCACGCGGGGCGUUUUGCACGCGGGACGUUUUGCACGCGGGGCCCGGCUCUGCGCUGCGGCCCGGCGCGCUGCCGGCGGGAGGUUUGCACACAGCGCUCUGCGCCUCGCUGUGCAGAGCGGGGCAGCGCGGGCGAGGUUUGCACGCAGCACCCUGCCCUCGCUCGGCGUCCCGCGCCCGGGGAGGUUUGCACGCGUCGCCCCGGCCGGGCGCAGCGCAGCCUGCACGCGCCGUCCGCCCCGGGCCGCGCGCCCGGCCCUGCGGGGGUCGCCCUCGCCCGCACGCCGGCACCGUGCGCAGGGGCUCCGCACCCGCCCCCCUCCCCGCGGCCGCAUAAGGAGGAGGCAGAGGCCGCGGGCAGCAAACCGCCCGCCUGGCCGAGGGGCCGCGUGCCGCAGCGCUGCGCCAGCCAUGGACCCCCGGGACUGCGCCUGCGAGGCCGGUGCCUCCCGUAGCUGCGCGACCGGCUGCGAGUGCAGAGCCCGCAACUGCGCGUCGCGCCAGGAAAGCUGCUGCUCCUGCUGCCCGGGUGGCUGCAAGAACUGCGCCGCGGGCUGCAUCUGCGAGGACCCGUCGUCUCCAAGAUGUACCUGCUGUCAGUGACGCGGCUGGCGGCUUCCCGCUCCCUUGGGAAUAUUUUCUGUGUGAAAAUCCUGGUUUUGUAACUUUUUCACCGGUGUGGUAGCUGCCGUCAGCCUCGGCGCGCCUGGGCGUAGCGCGAAGGUGAUGGGAAUAAAGGCUUGAUGCAAGA